GCGGUAGGAGAGCGUCGUAACCGGGCUGAAGUCGUACCGUAAGGAGCGGUGGACUGGUUACGAGUGAGAAUGUUGGCAUCAGUAGCGAGAUGUGGGUGAGAAUCCCACAGGCCGAAAACCUAAGGUUUCCUCAGGAAGGUUCGUCCGCUGAGGGUUAGUCGGGACCUAAGCCGAGGCCGAAAGGCGUAGGUGAUGGACAACUGGUUGAUAUUCCAGUACCACUACCAUCGUUAUUAUCGAUUGCGUGACGCAGGAGGAUAGUGUGUGCUAGCUAUUGGAUGCUAGUCUAAGCGUUUAGGCAGUGAGAGUAGGCAAAUCCGCUCUCAUAAUGCUGAGGCGUGAUGGGGAAGGUGCUACGGAACCGAAGUACAUGAUUCCACGCUGCCAAGAAAAGCGUCUAGAGAGAGAAGUAGUGCCCGUACCGCAAACCGACACAGGUAGGUGAGGAGAGAAUCCUAAGGCCGGCGGAAGAAUUACAGUUAAGGAACUCGGCAAAUUGACCCCGUAAGUUCGCGAGAAGGGGUGCCUACGAGAGUAGGCCGCAGAGAAUAGGCCCAAGCAACUGUUUAGCAAAAACACAGGUCUCUGCUAAAGCGUAAGCUGAUGUAUAGGGGCUGACGCCUGCCCGG
rnacentral:rRNA from 1 species